rnacentral:rRNA from 1 species
UGGGGAAUAUUGCGCAAUGGGCGAAAGCCUGACGCAGCGACGCCGCGUGAAGGAUGAAGGCCUACGGGUUGUAAACUUCUGUUAAGCGGGAAGAAAAUUCUAUUUCUAAUAAAGAUAGACAUGACGGUACCGCUAGAGAAAGCACUGGCUAAACUCGUGCCAGCAGCCGCGGUAAUACGAGUGGUGCAAGCAUUAUUCGGAAUCAUUGGGCGUAAAGGGUGCGUAGGUGGCGUAUUAAGUCUACUGUUAAAUAUCUCGGCCUAACCGAGAACCUGCAGUGGAGACUGGUAUGCUAGAGGAUGAGAGAGAGAAGUGGAAUUCUCGGAGUAGCGGUAAAAUGCGUAGAUCUCGAGAGGAACACCGAUGGCGAAAGCAGCUUCUUGGACCAAUCCUGACACUGAUGCACGAAAGCGUGGGGAGCAAACAGGAUUAGAUACCCCCGUAGUCC